UGCGUAGGCGGCCUGACAAGUCAGAGGUGAAAGGCUACGGCUUAACCGUAGUAAGCCUUUGAAACUGACAGGCUUGAGUGCAGGAGAGGAAAGUGGAAUUCCUAGUGUAGCGGUGAAAUGCGUAGAUAUUAGGAGGAACACCAGUAGCGAAGGCAACUUUCUGGACUGUAACUGACGCUGAGGCACGAAAGCGUGGGGAGCGAACAGGAUUAGAUACCCUGGUAGUCC
rnacentral:rRNA from 1 species